UUGUCCUAUGUAAACCCCCCCGCAUGACAAUGGCAACUUAUAUAGAACACACGAUUUACACUGAACAUAUCUAUUUUUUCUCUUCUCCGGACAGAACGAGCAGGUCUUUCGUACACCCGAACUUCCUUUAUGCACGCGGGAGCAAAUAGAGGACAACUUAUUGGGAGCGGACAUCACUACACGUACCCCAUACCUACUGGCCGCAUUUUUUAAGCAAUGUGUAGUAGAUUUUCUCAGAACUAAUAACCCGGGUUCUUGUUCGGCAUUCAGCUUCGACAUUGAGGACAUGUUUUACUCCUUACCGCAUGUUGAACUGCUGCAGAGUGUUAAAUCUUGUGUGGUUGAGGACAAUAAUGAAGUUAAGUUCGUCAACAGUUGUGGCGUUUCCUUGGAAAGCUUUCUGGAAUUGCUGACGUUUUACUUGCGGUCAAUGUGUGUAGAGUGAAAAGGGGGCGUUUAUGUCCAAAAAUCUGGUGUUUGCAUCGGAUCUAGGGUGGCACCAAUUUUAAGUAAUAUUUUCCUGCGACAAGUCGACAGGUCCGUUGCCGAUAAAUUGAACAAUCUGUCUUGCCACAUUUUUCGGUAUGUUGAUGAUUUCUUUGUUGUAAUUAAAACCGACAGUCAGCAUAGCAUGAGAGCUGACAUAUUAAACAUUUUUAAGGAUUCUGGCCAUGGGCUAAAGUUCACCCACGAGCUGCCUGAAAAAGGAGAGCUUCAGUUUCUAGAUAUUAGACUGCGGUUUCACGAGGAACAUUUGUGUUGGCGAUACAAGCCCCGAUCCGUAAAGGGUAUCUUGCCGUUCACCUCAGGCCAUUCUAAGAUAGUUAAGUCCGGCAUUAUUUAUGCUGCGCUGCGGGCUGCGCUCCUGAAAACGUGCACGCAUGCGUUGAAAGAAAGUUUCCUGAGCCAGGUUGAGAGGCUGAAGUUGGCGGGCUACCCUGAUACGGAAAUCUUGAGGAGUUGUCAAAAGCUAAUCAAGUGGGCUAAAGGCGUAAGUGAUACGCACAGGAGAACAGAGCGCGUGCGCAAUGAAAAGAAACCGGUUGUGGUACCCUACGUGCACAAGUUUUCACAUUGCUUAAAAAAUGCGGCCAGUAGGUAUGGGGUACGUGUAGUGAUGUCCGCUCCCAAUAAGUUGUCCUCUAUUUGCUCCCGCGUG
rnacentral:lncRNA from 1 species